rnacentral:lncRNA from 1 species
GAGAACGGCAAACCCUUAUUUCCAUGGACCGUGUUAUUCGUACCCGGAGUUUAACACUCUGGGUUACAUGGUCCCACCUCCCCACUCACAUGGGGAGGUCGGCCCCACACAUUUAGGCAUGGGUCCCCGACCUCUCCAUGUGAGAGGUCGGGUGGGACCGUGUAACCCGGAGUGGUACAAAUGGCAAAACCCUAUUUCCAUUCGAACUUUGAUUCUUCAAAGCAGAGCUACAACAGUAGCCGGCUAGCAGCUGUAGCAUGGAGUCGGUGGAUUGGAUUGUGUGCGGCAUGCCGGUGGGCAGUGUGCAAACAAUUGAACAAGGCCUCGACCACGACCAGCUUGUGAGUGGUGAGUUGAAAUUUAAAUAACUUGAAGUUUUGAAACUUGAAAUCUUGAUUUUGAAUACUUGAUUACUUGAAGUCUUGCUUGAAUUUGAAUACUACAAUUUGCAAACCCUUUGGCCUUUGCUGAUUUAUCGAUUUGUGCAAACCCUUUGUUGAUUUGUCAAUUUGCAAUUCAACAAUUAAAAUUGAUUUGUCGAUUCUCUAGACAUUGGUUGCAAUUUGCAAACCCUUUGUUGACUGACUUGAGUGUUGUUUCUUGUUUGAUGCAAGGAAUUGAUGUAUUUUGUGUUAUUAGUUAUUAUUUAUUGAUCGGUCGACAUUCAGUGAAUCAAUGUUUAAUUCAUAUGGAAAAGGAAAAUGGGAUUAUGGAUUUACUACUAAGAAUUGUGAUUUUUUUAUUGAUUCUAAUUGAAAAUUAAAUUAGGGCAUUGCAGAGUAUGAAACAGUUACAGAGUAAGGUUGUAUCAUAUGUUUAUUUAGUAUUUUGGGUUUUAUUGAUCUAUAUUUUCAUAUGUAUAUAAUUUUUACGUUUUAGUGCAUUUGCAUAUACAUUGAAUAAUUUUUAAUAUUAUUUAAUCAAAUUUUAAUAAACGAUCGGGCUAUUAUGAUUAUAUUGUUGAUUGUCGACAGUCAACAGUCAAAGUCAACAUCCACCCUAGCUGAACGUGGAUCCUGGAUUCACACCUGAUUGAGGGUCUUGAAUUUCAAAACACCUUUAUAUCUUAAACAUCUAUAUCCAACACCCAAACUAUUUUGUCCUCUUCCACCUAAGGUUUUUAGUUGUCCUACGUUCAUCCAUAUGCAUUGUCAUAAUAGAGGAAAGAUGGAUCCAAGAGCUCUUAGACGUGUCUUACAAGGUUAUUCACCUACCAAAAAGGUAACAGGUAUUAUCACCCUCCAAACAAAAUACUUUUUUGUAUGUAAGUAAUACCUUUUUCAAGAACAACUCUUUUUUCACCAAAAACUUCUCUACAAGAGGAAAAUGAAAAGCACAAAGAUCAAAUUUGAAAUGUACUGAUUAUUGUUCAAUCUUCUAGUCACGAGUCUCCAAUAUUCUUUCUGUGCAAUCUUCUUUGGAUCAUGAGUAUUGUGUCAUUUAACUUCCCCAUGAGUCUCAUAUUGUUCAAGCAUAUGAUCAUAACUCUAUUUCUCACUUUUCUCCAUUGGAUCCUAUCAUUCCAUUUGAGUGUGUACAAAAUAGAACUAAAUCUCACUGAAGGAAGAACAAGUGAUGACUUUCUCAACAAAUGAGCAAGAAAAAUUUCUAGAAAAUUCCAGGUAAUUCUUCUUCUAUCCUAACAUACCAAGAAAUCUUAAUUUAAUAAAUAUUCUGAUCUUCAUAUUCCGAUUGUUCAUAAGAAAGGUGUUAGGAGUUCUACUUUGCAUUUUAUUUCGAAAUUGUUUCGCGUCAAAUAAUCCCGUUCCUAUAGUGUCUUUAAUGCUAAUCUGUCUUUUUGUAAUUCUCUUCCAAAGUACUCCACAGGAAGCAACGACUAUUCCAAGACGGAAGUGGGUUAUAAAAGAGGCAACAAGGGCGUUGCAAAAGAGUGGUACAUGACAACUAGUUGAUCUUAUGCCCAAAAGGAAAUGGGUGGGAUCUAAAUGGAUGUUUACUCUUAAACACAAAGCUGAUGGGACAGUUGAAAGAUAUAUGGCAAGACUCAUAAGUAAAUGAUUUAUAUAGGCUAGUGAAAUUGCUCCUAGAAUACAUUAGCUCUAGUAGAAAAAAUGAGGGUAAACAUUGCCUAAGCCGUGUGAUUCGAAAUUUAUAAUGUAUUCUCCAUUGAAAGUUAAUAUAGAUGUAGUUUAGUAAUUGGUGCUCCACACUCAUGAUAUUUAUGCCCAAUAAUUCAUAAUUUAUAAUGAGUAUUUUAAAACGUUUUAAUGUGUAUUUUGAUGUUGUGUAUAGAUUGACGAAAUCGAAAGAAAUAGGCAAAAGUUGGCGAAUUGGAUGAAAGGACCAAAUUGUAAGAGAUCCAAAGUCGGGGACUAAAGCGCAAAUAAUCAAAAGUUGUGUCGAACCUCAUGAUGAAGAUCCGAGAGUGUUGGGAGUCAAUUGGAUGAAGAAAGAUGUCAAAGGGAUCAAAUUUAGUCAAAAUAUGGUCACAAAUUAAUUUCCAACUGAAAAGCUAUGCUCCAGAGUUUCAGUCUCACUUUGAUACUAGCAAAGUUGUAGUCCUCUGGGUUAUCUUUCCAACACAUUUUGAAUUACCUCAUUCGGACAUCAGACAAGAAAGUUAUGCUAAAAAUAUUGAAGGAUGCACAAUUUGUCAUUUUAGCCGAACUGGCGCAGAAUAUGGGCGCCGCAACGCCCAUUAUUAUGGAAUUCAGCAGUAUGCCGAGCGCCCAUAUUGGGCGCCGAUGUGCCGGCCAUGCUUGGAAACGCGUUUUAAUGAUUUUAGACUCUUUUCUUGGUCCAAUUCAAACCUAAUUCGUCCUAAACUCCAAUGACACUAUAAAUACAAGUUCAAAACCCUAUUUUCUAGGACAAUUGAACACACAAUUCAUCUAGGAUAAGGAGGCUAUAUCAAGGAAUCACGAAGAAAGCAUGAAGAACAUCAAAGGAGAAGUCAAUUAAAAGUUUGUAGAGUUUUUUCCUAAUGAAAUUUUCAUAGCUAAGGAACAAGAACAACACUUGCAUUUUUAAGUGAUUUGUUGUCCUGGGUAUACAUCCUCUCCAUCACUCUCUUUAUCUAGAUUCCCCAUUUACUUUUUCUAAUUUAACUUUUCUUUUUCAGGAGUUGUUCUGUUUCCAGAAGCCAUACUUCUCCCUGGAGUAAUUUGUUCUGUUUCCAAAAGCCAUACUUCCCCCUGGAGUAAUUUUACCUAAUUUUAUAGUUGUUAUUGAACGAUCGUUGACACAAGUUCAUGUUCCCUAUUAUAUUGGUAUGGUACGUAAGCUCCUUGAUACACUAUUUCAUUAUCUUUCUGUCACUGGAAUUUGUUUAGUCCUUAAAAUUGACAUGAUGCAGGCCAUGUGAUGCGAACCCAAUCAACAAGGUUACACAGGAUAUUAAAUCGGAUCCCAAGAACUCCCAAAUACGACCAAGGUUUAGGAUCUAAUCCCCAAACGUUGAACCAAGUAACCGGAGGUAUAUGAAACCCACGACCUCUUGAUCACAAAGUCUCGAAAUUACACCCGGAUUGUGGAUUUAAAUCCCAAAAUAGUGAAUUAAGCAACGAAAGGUAUAUUAAACCAAUGACCUCUUAAUUACAAGUUUUUGAAAUUCUCACCAAUAUUUUCGAACGCCACAAGAUCGAUUAAAUCUUGAUAAGUUCACUCAUUCAAUUAAGAACGAAAGAUUUUUGAAGCAUACGCUUCGGAAGAGAAAAACUCCAUUAAUUCAUCAACGAAGUUCUAAUGUUCAAUACAAUGAAAAUCCUAUUUAUACUAGAAAAUAUAAAACCUAAUUAAAAUUGGAAAAAAGUCCUAAACUAUGGUAAAAUCGUGCCUCUAGAGUCCUAGGAAUAAUAGAGUUACCAAAAAUAAUAAAUCUAUUAAAAUAAACGUAUCGCGUGAAAGUUGGAAUUUUCAAUAGCCAACCAAUUUCAUCCAAAGCUGCUGCAUUCUGUCAUUUGUCCAUACAUAUAUAUUAUUCAAUUCAGCCCUCCACUGCAUGCAUGUGACCAUAGAUUAUUAAAUUCUGCAUUGCUCCAGCUAGCUUGCUUAAAUUUCCUCCAGCUUGCUUAGUUCUUCAUUCCCAACACGCUAAACUGAUUCCAGGUUCAUUAUCUCCAAUAAUUUAUAUUAUAAACUGAUUCCAGGUUACUUAGAUCUUGUUAAUUGGCAUGCAAUCUUCAACAUAUUGACCCCCCAUAGCUUGAAUAAUUAAUUGCAUGAUCAACUUGCCUCGAUUUAAUGUUGAUUGAAGCUUAAUUCUUGGCCUUGGCCGCCAUCCAACAAUCAUCAAUUCUUCAAUCGUUUGCGGCGCAUCUCGAAUCACAUCACCAUGUUUUUCAGGUUCGUCUUUCCAAUGAUCCUACUACUAGGAAGAUAAAGUUUCCAACUACUAGUACAACUGCAGAAGUACAAACUGGAAUUCUUUUUCCCAGUUCUUUUGUUUCAUCCCUCCAAAAUUGACUUUGAUGCCAUGAAUUUACGUUACAUGUAAAUCAUAUCUUUUUUAAGUUUGCUUGUUUUAUUUGUUUAAAUAGAACUAAAAUUCCAUGACAUUGUGAAUGGGAACUCAUUCUUAGUUUAGAGAGAGUGACUGAUCAACAAGCAACGAUAACUACUAUACUUGACUUUGUCCACAGAAUUAACUAAAGUCAGAAGUAGAGAAUAUGAAUAUUUCAGGGAGAGAAGCUUGCAGCGGCCGCCCUAUCAACGCAAGACACCUCGGCGGGUGGGCACCCACACACCUGUGGGCCAGCCGCCGCGGUGUCACGUCGAGGUUGGGCCGCCCCACACAAGUUUUAGCCAAUUUCAGGUCAUGACUUGAAAUAUUGAAUAUUUUAGGUAGUUUAUUGGACUCAAAAGCAAGAAGUCAGAACAUGCAUUUUAAUUUUAAGAUAUUGUAACAUUAAUUUUACCAUUUUUGUUUUCUGGGUGACACAGGGAUUAUGUGGAGAUCAAAUAUAAUAUGACUGUCAACUAAGUAAUUUCUAUAAACUUGAGAACAAUGGAUGACCGAGUGUAAGAAUGGUAAAAUUUAAAAUGAAAUUGAAAUUCAAUUACACAAAUUCAGAUCACAUAUGAAAUUCACGCUUAUAAAUAUACACGUUUGGACUUUUUGUGUAAAUUAAAAAAAAUAUAUGUCUUACUUAUUUUUUAUUUUUUAUUUCUAAAUUUAGUCCCAUUUGACCCCCAUUUUUUCAAAUUUAAAGAGUGAAAUAGUUUUUUUUUUUUUUUUUUGGAGAAUUAAUGGUUAAAAAAAAGUUUUCGAUUUACGUGUAAUAUUAUUUUAUAAAAAAUUGUGAUUGAAAAACAGGAGAGAGAAAAAUGUAAUGUAAUUUAAUUUAAUGGGGGCACAUUGGGCUUUACUUAUUUAUAAAUAAUUACUUGGGAUUUAAACGUAGAUCCUCAUUUUUUUUCUUUUCUUUUUUUCUCCCCCCACCCCCUUAAAAUCCCGGAUUUUGGUAUUAAGUCGGAGAAGAGGGUUGUUUCACGGGUAUAUCUACUGUUCCUAACUCAAACUUGAUUUUCUUUUCUUUUUCUUUUGAAUAAAUAGAGAACAAGAAAGAUUCUUUAAUUGUAUAAUUUUUCACAAUUCUUUAAUUUUCUUUAAUUGAUUUCUAAAAAAGUUAAACUUAAUAAUACAUGUAUAGAACAUUGUUUUGUAACAGUUCUCAUUGUUCCUCUAUGAUUUUUAUACCUUUUCAUCAUUUGAAUUAACACUGAAUAUAUCCACAUUUUUUAUAUAGCUUGAGACAGUGACAAAUCCAAAAUAUAGUUGUUGGCCGAGAGAGCAAAUAAUAGCCUAAUUGACUAUCAUGACGCUUGGCAUUUCUUGAAAGUGUUGGAAUUAUAAAACCCACAUUUUAAAACGUUAAUUUGCCAUAACAUUCAUUUUAUCAUUUUCGUUUCUAGGGUGUCAGGAAUGGAUGAUGUAGAUCAAUUGUGGUAUGACUACUAAAUAAAGGAAUGAUAUAUAGGGACAAAAUGCAAUCGAGUAAUAAAUUUGAAACUAAUCUGAAGUUCAAUAACCUAAUUGAGAUGAAAUUUUUCUUAAGUUAGUCAUCAUAGAUGAAAUUAACCCUUAUAUGUUGUUUAAUUUCUCUAUCUUGGAAUUCGUAUCAAGUCACGUUAAAAGAUUGGUUCACACAUUUAUAACAAGAACAUUUGUAAAUAGGGAUGUCAACAGUCGAGUCGAGUCAAAACUCGAAGCUCUGGCUCAACUUGAGUAAAAAUAGUUCGGAUUUUUUUUUGCUUGAGCCAGGCCAAGCUUUUGCUCAACCAAAAAAUAUAGGCUCAAACUUUAACGAGUCGAGACGGCUCUUUUUUUUUUUUUUUUUUAAUCGAUUCAGCUGCCUUAUUAUACAUUGUUACUGCAGGUAGCUACUAC